rnacentral:rRNA from 1 species
CAGCCGCCACGGUAAGACAGAGGAUGCAAGCGUUAUCCGGAAUGAUUGGGCGUAAAGGGCUCGCAGGCGGUUUCUUAAGUCUGAUGUGAAAGCCCCCGGCUCAACCGGGGAGGGUCAUUGGAAACUGGGAAACUUGAGUGCAGAAGAGGAGAGUGGAAUUCCACGUGUAGCAGUGAAAUGCGUAGAGAUGUGGAGGAACACCAGUGGCGAAGGCGACUCUCUGGUCUGUAACUGACGCUGAGGAGCGAAAGCGUGGGGAGCGAACAGGAUUAGAUACCCCUGUAGUCCCUGUCUCUUAUAA